rnacentral:rRNA from 1 species
UACGAAGGGGGCUAGCGUUGCUCGGAAUCACUGGGCGUAAAGGGUGCGUAGGCGGGUCUUUAAGUCAGGGGUGAAAUCCUGGAGCUCAACUCCAGAACUGCCCUUGAUACUGAAGGUCUUGAGUUCGGGAGAGGUGAGUGGAACUGCGAGUGUAGAGAUGAAAUUCGUAGAUAUUCGCAAGAACACCAGUGGCGAAGGCGGCUCACUGGCCCGAUACCGACGCUGAGGCACGAAAGCGUGGGGAGCAAACAGG